GCCAUGGCAACCAGAGCAAUAGGGCCCAGGCUUUGGCCCUCAGAAGAAACCUGUAUCCACCUAGCAAAAGGAGGAUAAGGACUAACUGGGAGAAAACCAGAGGGGAUGGUGAACAGAAAAGUCAACAACAGGAAAUGGCAGACUGUGGCCUAGUCAUCCUCUGGCUGUCAGAUCUCGGCUUAUUGCAUGAGACAUAAUCUGCCAUCUUCAGGAGUGUGAACCUGGUCCUCUUCGAGUCUCUGGGUUCUUCCCUUCAUGCCGAGUGGUGCUUUGGUGGGAAAAUUGUGUUUUUCUUUGAAUAUAACCUUUUCUAGAGAUAGAGGUGGGCGGCACUAUGAUCAGAGAACCUUUAUCCUCUGCAUUCCUCCCAAUGCUCGGCUCUUCCCCGAGAAAUGGCCCUCAACCCAAUGCAGGGGCAAUGGCUAGCCCCAGGAACAAUCAUCCCAAGAUUCUCAAGUUUAAAGAGAAUACUUGGCCAGGCUUGGUGGCUCACGCCUGUAAUCCCAGUACUUUGGGAGGCCGAGGCAGGCGGAUCACGAGGUCAGGAGAUCGAGACCAUCCUGGAUAACAUGGUGAAACCCCGUCUCUACUGAAAAUACAAAAAAUUAGCCGGGCAUGGUGGCGGGCACCUGUAGUCCCAG
rnacentral:lncRNA from 1 species